GGAUAUGAGGGUGAUCUGAUUGUGACAUCUGUCACCCCAUUGAUCACCAGGGUUUAUUAAGCUGAUCUGGUUGGCUAGGCGGGUGUCCUUUUCCUCUCUCAACAUUCCAUGUGUGUCCUUCCUGAAGCUGCACGCUCUGUCGAAGAGGACAACCAUAUCUGAUAGAGGAGGACUAGUCUUCAGUCAAGGGUAUAUGAGUAGAUCCAUUUCCCAGCUAGAACCUUCAAACUAGCUCUCA
rnacentral:lncRNA from 1 species